UCUCAAAAAAAAAAAAGAAAAGAAAAAAAAAAAGAAGAAGAAGAGGGAACUCUUAACAUUGAAUGUUGACUGUCUGAGUGUGCAUGUGUGUGUGCACAGGCGUGCCCUUGCACAAGCUUGCGUGUGUGUGUUUACUUCAUGGAAUUUUGUGUGAAAUUCUCUUCAAGCGUAUAGCAGAAUUCACCUCCAUUUCCUAGUCACACUGUUGGUUCUGUGCUCUGAACCUGGGUGUAGCUCAUUUGAAGGACUCUCUUCUGCAUUUCCUAACAGGUAUUUGUUGGUCUCAAGAGCUGAGAUUGUGGUGGGUUGGGAGAAACCGAAGUUCUGUACAUUUCUAUAGAGUUUACAUCCUGCAGUUAAAAAGGCAGGAAGGGCUCAGCCAGGGCCCCACAGCUCCAGGCCGUCCCCCACAGGCCUCCCAGAGUGCCCCUGCUUCUCUAGCUGAAUCUUUUCCCACAGCCUGGGAAAGGAGAGUGGGUUCACUUGCUGUUCUGUUCACAGCAGAAGCACCAUGUUCUGGUCUUUUUUCAGGUUCAGUUUAUUGUGUAAAUGGCGUUUUUUUUUCUGGUGUGAGCUUUGGUGAUCAUGGCUGGGCUCCUUUGAGGUGAUGGUUACACCUCAUGGUCUGAAGAAGAAACCCAGAAAAGAGUCUGGUUUGGCCAGAGGCCCCCCGGCCCACGCCAUCCUGAGCACGCCCCUCUGAUGCUCUGCUGUCGAGAAGCACGUUUCCACCAGCUGUAUUUAACACUACAAUGCAUUUUUAAAACUAUAUUUGCAUCCAAGACAAUAAAGAAACCUUAUUUUUUGAAAAGCCUGUGAUGUGUGGCCUUAAAUGCUAUGCCGUUGAGCUAUGGAAGAGAUGGGAAAAUGAAGAGAUCUGAGCACAGCGAUGCCCUUGGCCAGCUCGCUUCUAACCUCAGGAGGGUAAUCAGCCCGGAAUGGAGGCAACCGGGUGAGGAAGAGGUCCAGGGUGGGAGGGCAGUUCUGGAGGUGUGUCCAGAAAGUCGACGGUCCUUAAGACAGGCCUUCCCACAAAGGCUGAUAAGAAAGGCCCAGUGUGGUGGAUUCUGCCUGUGGCCUCAGCAGGGGCUGGUGAGUCAGGCCACUGCUCCAGGCCAUACCCAGGUGGACAGAGCUCACUGGUGCCCCUAUAAACUUCUCAUCCAGGACUUGGGCAGACAGCACCAGCCCUGCACGAUCGGCAGUUUCACGUGAAAUCACGUGUGUCUGAAUGUUCAGGAGACUGUGGAGCUCUGUGCUUAGAUAAUACAGUCAUCAGCAGCAAGCACUAGCCCAGCUCUGCAAAGGCUUCAGAAAUAGUGGUGGCCUCUGGGCACCGUGGUCCCCGUGCUUGUUAUUGACCCCACACCAGAGGUGGGAAAGACUAGAAAGCUGACCAGUAGAAAUGCCCCUUUGUUCAGGUACCAAGAAGGUUUGGCUCAUCUCUGUUUAAUGUAGAAGCUUUUCUCUGCCAUUUUCCUGGGCCCCACACCCACCCACUGGCUCCUUGUGCUUUGCCAGGGUGACCCAGUGAGAAGAGCCAGCCUGCACAGAGCCGCGGGGUUGCUUCACGGGAUGACUGCCAGGAUCUGGAUCUCGAUGUAGAAUGCAGUGGGUUGAUAUACAAGCUCUUGUUGGAUCAAACCCCCAUGCCUCCCCUGAGGAGAAGUCCAUGACUCAAAGCAAGCCUGGGCCCUGAGAACCGGGGGUCCUAGAGGGAAAGGCAUGCGCACACACAGAGUCUGGCCUCAGAGCGGCUCUCAGGACACCGAUUGUGUUGUGAUUACGCAGUUUCUCUUCCCCAUCGGAUUCCAAGCCCACCGGGACGAGGGCCUGGUGCUGCACCUCACACAGACCUGGCAGGAGCAGACAUCCAGACAGCCUGUGGAUGAAGCCUUGCCACGCCACCCCACUCCAGCUGCCUCUGCCCACCGCCCUGGGCACCGGCGGGGCAGAAGAGGAAGGGGGAUCAGAGGGCGUUGACUCUGAAGACUGCAUAGAAAAUCUCCAGUACACACAGAAGUGGAGAACGGUAUAAUGAACCCUCGUCUCAUCAAGAAUGCCCAUCAUCCACUUUAACAACUGGCAACUCAGAGCCAAUUUUGUUUUCUUCUAAGACCUCAUGCCCACCUCCAUUAUUUUGAAGCACAUU